AUAGGGAGAGGAAGAAGGAUCUGCACAUGGUAUUUAUUGACCUGGAGAAGGCUUACGACAAAGUCCCCAGGGAGGUGCUUUGAAGAUGCUUGGAGGUGAGUGGGGUACCGCUGGCAUAUAUCAGAGUAAUUAAGGAUAUGUAUGAUGCGGGAGGAGACUCGGAGCAUUUCACUGUCCUGACAGGAUUGCAUCAGGGAUCUACUCUUAGUCCCUUUUUGUUUGCGUUGGUGAUGGAUGUGGACGCGGCGUAUUCAAGGGGAGGUGCCAUGGUGUAUGCUUUUUGCAGACAAUGUAGUUCUGAUAGAUGAGACUCGAGGGGGUGUGAAUGACAAAUUAGAGGUGUGGAGGCGAACUCUUGAGUCUAAAGGGUUCAGGGUGAGCAGAAGCAAGACAGAGUAUGUGGAAUGCAAGUUUAAUGACGUGAGGCGGGAGAAUGAGGUAGUAGUGAAGCUGGAAGCACAGGAGGUAUGUAAGAGGGAUAAGUUCAAGUAUCUUGGGUACGUGAUCCAGAGUAACAGUGAGAUUGACGAGGAUGUCUCGCACCGUAUUGGGGCGGGAUGGAUGAAGUGGAAACUCGCAUCGGGGGUGCUGUGUGAUAAGAAGGUGCCGCCCAAGCUUAAAGACAAAUUCUACAGGGUGGUAGUCCGUCAGGCCUUGUUGUAUGGAGCGGAGUGUUGGCCAGUUAAGAACUCCCACAUCCAAAAAAUGAAGGUGGCAGAAAUGCGGAUGUUGCGCUGGAUGUGUGGACUGACCCGAGGGGAUAGAGUUCGGAAUGAGACUAUCCGGGAGAAGGUUGGUGUGACUUCAGUGGAGUGUAAGAUGCGGGAAGCACGAUUGAGAUGGUUCGGACACGUGAAGAGGAGGGGCACGGAUGCCCCGGUCCGUAGGUGUGAGAGGCUAGCGUUGGAUGGUUUUAGGCGGGGUAGGGGUAGGCCGAAGAAGUACUGGGGUGAGGUGAUUAGGCGGGACAUGGAACAGUUACAGCUCACCGAGGACAUGACCCUAGAUAGGAAGGUCUGGAGGACGCGAAUUACGGCAGAGGAUUAGGGCCAGUUCGGGUCGCUAGUGGAGGGAAUUACUUGGUGGGGGUUUUAUUCUUGUCAUGAUUCCGUGUUCCAUGUUGUAUUACGAAUCUGUGUGCUUUCCCCUGCUUUCCUCUGCUUUAUAUUACCUAUGGGUGCCGUAUUUAUGUUAUGUAAUCUGCUUCUGUGCUGCACUAUGUGUUUGUGUGGUAUCUCGUGCCUUGAGCCGGGGGUCUAUCGGAAACAGCCUUUCUACUUCAUCAGAGGUAGAAGUAUGGACUGCGUACAUCUUUCCCCCCCAGACCCCACUAGGUGGGAAUACACUGGGUUUGUUGUUGUUGUUGUUGUUGUCAUUAUUUGUUGGUAUAGUUCUUGUAUAAAGCUGAUUCUGGCCUUGUGAUUAAUGAAAUAUUUACCUGUUAAAACAAAAAGCUCUUUGCUUUGAGUACUAGAGACAUUAUCCAUUAUUUUACUUCUGAUCACAUUUAGUUUGUGUCUUAACUCUGGCUUAAAUUUUGCUUCUCAUUGUAAACUGCUACUGGUAGGUAAUUACGUAGCUUCAAAAGUUUCUGAGUGGAUUUAAGUGUACAUUAUUAGCUUAAAAAGUUUUACAAUAUCGUUUUUUUCAUUAACAUGUAAAAAAUUUCUGUAUUACAAUUUUGCAGUGUAUUAUAAGCACCCAAAGGAGUGUGACCUAGUGAUUAAUAAAUUGGUUUGAGAAUCAUGAGGUUUCUAGAUCAAACCCUGAGGACAUUAAAACACUAGGUGAUUUCUUCCAUUUGUGAUCUGUCCAAAUCUUGGUGGACAAAGCUACGUUGUACCUAUAUGAAUGGGAGGUAGCAGGUAUCCAUGGAGUUAGUCAGGGUGCACAAGCUAGCUCGAACACUAUGGUUAUUAAAUAAAGUAUGGUUUAAUCGAUUAUAGUAGGUUAUUCACUUUCUUUCUAGGUUUUAUGGUUACUUGCAGUUGUAAACAACAUGAUAGCUUAUGAACAGAAUAUUUACAAUUAGAUAGUUUUACUUUUCUUUCUAGUUGUAAAUAAAAGAUGUUCCUCUGUUGGUCGGUAAAAGGUAAACACCCAUAUGAUCACCUCGUCCUUUUUCCUUCCAUGUCAUUUUAUGCCAGCUUUUUUGGUCUUAAAAUUGCUUUUUUCGAUUUCUAUCAUCAUAUGUUAUUUAUGGUGUUUCGCUUGUUGCACUAUUUUGUUGUUGUUACUCCUUCCUUAUUAGUUGCUAUGUUUUCUUAAUUGUCGUUUCCCUUUUAAUACCUACUUUUAUUUGAUGUACUCGAGCGAGGGUCCUCCGGAAACAGCCUCUCUACCUCCAUGAGGUAGGGGUAAGGUCUGCUACGCUCUACCCUCCCCAGACCCCGUUUUUGGAUUUCACUGGGCAUGUUGUUGUUGUUGUUUUGGUCUUAAGACCUGAAGGGGUCUACUAGGUUCUUCAAUUUUAUCUUCAGUCAUCUGAUUGUUUCCACAAACAUGCAUGUCCAAUAACUUGUUACUGAUUGAUAAGCUGGAUGCCUUUAUGUGCAUAAGCUGUUAUCUUGUUUUGUUCCAUGAAUAAUUGCAUUUGCUUAGUUUUUACCUUAAAAGAGAAAUAUGUUUUCCACUUACAUAAACCUUUCUUCAACAUUAUCCUGAGAAGAGUUCUUUUUUACAGGUUGGUUAUAUUGCCCUAAAUAUGGUGAUAAAAUCGGUCUUAUCAUCCCAUCAAAAGUGCCUCUAAGUGAGUCAUUCGACAAGAUCCCUACUGGAGAAAGUUUCACUCCAAAAGACUUAAUCGGCUCGCAAAGACGUUUAGGGAGAGAAGUAAGUAGGGUGGACAAGAUUUUCUUCUGGUUAUCACGUUUACUAUUUGCUUAUUCUCUUCCUCUCCACCCUUGACAGUUGCCAACAAGGUUAACUUGGUGAUAAUUGUCUUGAUACUCCCUCCAUUCGCUUUUACUUGUCACUAUUUUCCUAAUUUGAUUUCUAUAUUUACUUGUCAUUUUUGACAAAUCAAGAAGAGACAAUUUUUUUCCCAUGUUUUACCCUUUGCAUUAAUUACUUAUUCUUCAAAUCAUUUUCCAAUACCUAUUACUAAAUAUCAAUUAAUAGGGGUAAUAUAGUAAAAUUACUAUACCAAUUAUUAUUUUCUUAAUAGGUGUGCCAUGUCAAAAAGUGACAAGUAAAACCGAACGGAGGGAGUACUAUCUUAGUUGAUUUAUUGGAUAUAUAACCGAUAUCUUUCUGCACCAAUUUGUCUCCUUAAUUGCCGUCUGAAGAGUCAUUGCAUUGUAGUUCUCUCUUCUGUUUCACUCUUGUUUCUUACACUCUUUUAACGGUCAGUGUACGUUGCCUUUUGUUUUGGUCAUGCUUCAUUAGUGACCUUUUGUUUCUGACUUGGUUAAUUCCUGAGAAAUUCAAACUAAUUUUAUUUUGAUCUGCUUGGACAACGGGUUAUAUGUAUGUCUGUAUGUUUACUGUGUUUGGCUUUUUUUAUUUUUUAUUUUUUUAUAUAUUUUGGGGGUAGGAGAUGUCUAAUGAAAGUUAAAGUAAUAAUGCAAGCAUUCUUUUGUCUUUUUGAAUGGAAAUUAUCCAAGUAUCUAUAUUAAACAGAAGUAUCCAAAGGAAAAACAAAAAACCUUUACAUCAUUAAACAUUUUUUCCAUCAUAAAGGAAAACCUUUGGCUGGAUCCAGUAUUUUUUGAGUCGAGUCUUGUGAGAUUUUAAAAUGGUUUGUUGAUAAAAGGAGUUAGCUGUUGUAUAAGUAAAGAGUCAAAGAAAAGAUUUUCAAAAGAAAGAAAUUGAACGUAUGGGGACCUUCUCUCAUUUACAUCCGAAAGAUUCUGGAGGACCUAACGUCUCUGAGUUUAUAGGACAAGUAUAUAUGUGUUCACUGUCAUCAUUCAGAUAUAUAUAGCUCAAAAGUGGUGGCUGCAGAGACUCCUGCCUAUUUAUUUGGUAGUUCUGGUAGUGAAGCACUGAAGCUAGAAUAUUCUGUUUGUGUGUGAAUUGACAACUUCUAGAAGUCUUACAGAAGAAUGUACAUUUACGUUUAUAGCAUGUUAUAUGCGGGUUAGGAGCAUGUCACAGGUUCCAACCCUUCCACAGGCAAAAACAUGAUAUUUGAGUGGAGAAGGGUAGAGGCAGGCCUAUUAUCCACCAUUUUCUGAACCGUGCGCCACUGGCAUGAGAUUUUUUCAGUUGAAAAAAAGAGAGAGAAAAGGAAUGUGCAUCCAUAUCAGCUUUCUUUGUGUCAUCUCUUCUUAUGCUUGCUCACAUUUAAUCUUCUUACUAGUUGGAUUUUCAAUGCCUGCCCUAUAUAUAAUUAUCACCUUAUUGUUAGCUGAAUAGCCGUCAUCUACGUUUGGCAUUACUAACACUCAUUGCAGAUAGGACUGGUGGUUGAUUUGACAAACACGGAUCGUUACUAUCCAGAAUCAGAUUGGACCAGUCACGGUAUUAGACAUGUUAAGGUAAAUAUAAACAGUACUGGUUAUAAAAAAAGGUAAAUAUGAACAGUACUCUAUAUCCUAUUCGAUCUCAUGGUUAAGUGGCCAGUUAUAUGCUAUGUGUUUAUCCAGAUUCGAUGCCCGGGUCAGGACUCUGUACCUGAUGAUGAGUCUGUAAAUAGAUUUAUUUCUGAGGUAACUCCUUUGACUGUCACUUGCAUAUCAUCUUUCGUCAUGCUCUGCAUGCCUGGGAAGGGUGCCAGCAGCGUGAUAAUUACUUUUUACUUUGCUGAGAUUCUCAUCUUCAGAACUUGUAUUGAUUGCAGGUUGUGCAAUUUACAUCUCAAGAAUCUCAAGCAAGUAAGUAUGCUGUUGUCCACUGCACUCAUGGUCACAACCGAACAGGCUAUAUGAUUGUACAUUUUCUUGUACGUACUCAGUCAGUUAGUGUUAGUGAGGUUAGUAAUCUUAUUCAUUUUAUACCAACUCUUCUCUUCUUAGGAUUCCGACAUAAUCUAUAAAAUUUGUGUCUUAUCUUCAGGCUAUAACAACGUUUGCGCAAGCACGCCCUCCUGGAAUUUACAGACAGAAGUAUGUUGAGGCGUUAUAUGACUUCUAUUUACAAGCGAAGCCUGAACCUUUGGUUUGUCCCCAAACUCCAGAAUGGAAGAAAAAUUCUGAUCAAGAUAAUGAAGUUGUUGCUCCUUCUUCUGUAAGUAGUUCCUUUGGGAUUAUUGGUGAACCAUUGCUGCAUUGAUAUUUGACAUUUGUCAUAGGUUCAAAGUGGAGCACUUAGGGGUCGUUUGGUAGCUGGUUUAGACAUGAGUUAUACCAUGUUUGGUAGUGAGUUAGUAAGUUAACCAUGUAUAAAUUUAAUACGGUAUUUGGUUUGCAAUUUAGAAACCCACAUAACUUAUACAUGUAUAAGUUAUGAGGGAAUCUAAUAUAUUAUUUUAUGCUUGAUAGAAGGUGGAAUGAGUAAUACAUGAAUAACUAAACCCUGCCUAACUAAUCCUUGCAUAAAAUAAUACAUAAUUCCCUCAUAACUAAUCCAUGUAUUACUGAUACCUACAUAACUCUAACUAGCUACCAAACGACCCCUUAGUGCACUAUUUUGAAAUGAUGAAAGAUCGUGCGUGAAUCAAUUAUUAGUUACUACGAGGAGCACUUUGCUUAUAGAUGUGAAUGUGGUACUUGGAUGAGUACGACAUUACAAUCACACACUGCAUAAGUUUUUUUUUUUUUUUGUGUAAAAGUUUUUAAUCAUAAGGUACUAAGAUGGUACAAGACCAAGUACAAGACAAAGCUACAACAUCUCCACAGACAUACUACAUAUUCCUUCCUAAAAGAUCCAGAAAAUCCAAAUAUUGAUCCAUCCUAUCUAAUACUGCUAUAACACCAAAAGAGCAGGUUUUUGAUACAUCUAUUACGCUAGCAAUCUGUGGUCUUUUCUGUUCAAAGCAUGUCUUGUUCCUUCCCAGCCAAACAAUCCAAAAUAUGCAAAUGGGAAUAAUCCUCCAUGAUUGUUUCAUACUUCUCUUUACUCUUUGAGCUUGCCAAACUUCCAACAGACUACUGAUUUUCUUUGGUAUAAUCAGAGAUACACCCAUCAUGUUCAGAAACAAUUCCCAGCAUUGUCUUGAGAAACUACAAUUGUUCAUCGACCUAGAAAAGGCGUACGACAAAGUCCCCAGGGAGGUGCUUUGGAGAUGCUUGGAGGUGAGUGGAGUACCGCAGGCAUAUAGCAGAGUAAUUAAGGAUAUGUAUGAGGGAGCGAAAACCCAGGUGAGGACGGCGGGAGGAGACUCAGAGCAUUUCACUGUCCUGACAGGAUUGCAUCAGGGAUCUACUCUUAGUCCCUUUUUGUUUGCGUUAGUAAUGGAUGUGUUGACGCGGCGUAUCCAAGGGGAGGUGCCGUGGUGUAUGCUUUUUGCAGACGAUGUAGUCCUGAUAGAUGAGACGCGAGGGGGUGUGAACGACAAAUUAGAGUUGUGGAGGCAAACUCUGGAGUCUAAAGGGUUCAG
rnacentral:lncRNA from 1 species